CUCAGUGUGUGAGCAGAUAUGACACACACAGACCUGCCCUCAAGGCACUGAUAAGGUCAGUGUCAACAUAUGACUUCUUCAGCUAGACUAGAAGCUUUCUCCAUGAGGGCAGGUACCAAUGUGCCCCAGCAAGUAAUUGUGCCUGGCAGAGAGCAAGUGCUCAGUAGCUAUGUGUUGGAUGAACAGAUAAAUAAAUGCAUGGAGAACAAAUGAAGGCGUCCCGGAAGAAUGAUAGACGUUCAUAAAGAAAACAACCCUGGGAAUCCUAUUCGCCAUCCACCAAUCCAUAGAAUACCCCCAACCCCAUCUGACGUCUGACCUUCUAAAUAUCACUCCAGUCGAGUCAGGGACCAAUUACAGCAGUGCCUGGAAAUGACCAUCAAAUUAGAAAGAAGGCGGGGGAGGGGGGGAAGGCAAACCAGCAGAGAGGAGAUUCCCAUCCGGUGGAUGAACAGCACAGUGGCUAAACUGGACCACCCCCUGGAAGAACAGCAAACCUCUCUCUCCUUCCCCAACAGUGACUGUGCAGAAAGCUUCCAAAUAAAAACCCAGAGACUGACAAAAUUGCAAGCAGGAAAUCUGCCUGUCAGCUUGGAAGAUCCCUGUCCCACAGUCGUCUGAAUCUACAGGCUGAGAGACGGAGUCUGUAUGAAGCACUGAGUUUACUGGAAGCUUCUUGAUGCUCCAUGGCAGUUUGUUCUGCUCUCUUGGAGCUAAAGCUAGAAGGGAAAUCACUUCCUUUCCUAUAACUCAGAGCAAUUAUAUUCUCUUAACGUGGACAUCUGGCUCGCUGCUGCUCUCCUUACUUACGUUUUCCAAAUGCUAUCAGUUCUGGGAAGACCAAUUAUUACUGAAAAGUCGAGAAACGCUCACCGGUUAUUUGCAUUGAUUUGGUUGACAAGACACAGGUUCCUUAUGAACUAUGGAUGUCUGUGGAGGGGACAGGGAGGAGAAAAAUGCAAGAAUCCGGGAGAGCUCGGGCAUUGGAGCCUCUACCAACUGCAGGGACCAGAGGAGGAAGAAUACUUUGCUCAGGAUGGGGACACUGAACUGCCCUCCCAGAGCCCCCCAAACAAAGCCGUUUCUGUAAAGACAAAUGGGUAGCCAGCGUCGGCCAGCACUGCAAGCAGCCACGACGAUAUAAUUGGCCUGUUACCGCAUCAUCUUUAAUCAAUAGGAUCCGGAGUUUCCACAGCUUGUACAGCCCAAAUCUCCCUGGCAGCCAAGAACCAGCGGGUUGUUAAAAGGCCCGAUAGUUCUGCCUCGCUAAUGGGUGGCUUGUUCCCUCAACCCUGCUGAUUUUUUAAAUAAACCUAAAUUCCAAUAAUU